rnacentral:snoRNA from 1 species
UUACGGCCCUCUCGAAGCCGCAUUUGGCUGCUUCUGUGCCAAAUAGUGGUCAAUAAGGUGCCAACAGCAAAGUGUUGACACGACGGUCGCCGCCUGCCUGUAGUCCAUGUGGCUUUGGUGGCAACUUUACGGUGAACCACAUUC